AGGGCAUUACUGCUCCAUGCUAGGUUGUUUAAAUCUACAAGGGCCCCACCAUUUGCUAGCCAAAGACACUAGUAUUCUUCACCUCAGGACCUGCAGCUAUCUACUGUACUUGUGUAAUCCAUUCUUUUCUUUGCAUGUGUGCCUCUCAAGGGUGUUUGUGGCCCAGAAGGAGCUGAGAGGUUGACAAGUCUUCUCUCCUCCCUCUCCGCUCCUGUGUCAAGGGCAUUUAGAUUACUACCCUUCCUUAUCUGCAGUUGCUAAAAUUGAAGGUUGUCUUUUCUAAUGUAUUAGUUAUUUGUAGCAAGGUUUAACAGUGUUGUAAGUUUCCAUACGCUUUAAACCGUGCUAAUAUAUUCAGCUUGUUUAUCACUGCCAGGUGUGUGUCUGUUUUUGGUGAUAAUUCCACAGCCAGGAUAACGGUAUUUACUGCAUGUGUCCUAAAAUGUGCUUGCAGUAAUUUUAUUUAACCAGGUGUGUCAGAGGCGCUGAGGUCAUUCUUGGAGUUGAGGCGGAGGUCAGAGAAUCCAGAUUCACCAAGCGGCUCCUUCGGGGAUGGUGCUACAUUUACAACCCCUUUAAGCGGCGGGAGCGGAGCAUCCCCUCUUGCUCCUCCAGGAUAACAGCCAAGCGGCUUUUAGCUGCAUCGGUUGUUAUCCCUGAAGAGCCGACUGCCCGCUCUAAAAACAGUAAAAAAAAAAACAAAGGUCACAUUCUUCCUGUCAUCAGUGGAGCUCCACUCUGCAGCCAGACCCCUCUCGUAGAAACACAGGAAGUACGGGCGGAGGACGGGCUAGAUAUAGGAUACAUUCACUCCGUACCCUAAGAAGCCUCACAUGAUGCAGUUCUAACAAGACAACAACAUCACAUAUUGUGUGUGGAUCACUCUGACGGGAACUGAUGAAAGAUAAGCACAGAACGUUGUAUAACGUACAAUAUCCAAGGUGAGAGGAGGAGGAAAUAGGGAGCACACAUCACUGGAACACACAAAGAGGGAUUAUAGAGCAGUAACUGGAGAUCCAUUAACACCCAGCAGCCGUCUUCACAGGACGUCACCCAUCACAGUGCCUCCACCUCACUGUCUGACAACAGAGGUAUUUAGAAGGACAUGAGGAUCUCUACAAGGACGUCAUGAUGGAGAAUCAGCCGCCCCUCACAUCACCGGAUGGAUCCAGUAAUGGGAACCCACCAGA